AGCUAGGCUUAACAUUGUUAGGUCGCCAGCCUCUUAGAGGGACUAUCGGUGUUUAACCGAUGGAAGUUUGAGGCAAUAACAGGUCUGUGGUGCCCUUAGAUGCUCUGGGCCGCACGCGCGCUACACUGAUGAAGUCAUCGAGUUCAUUUCCUUUAUCGGAAGAUAUGGGUAAUCUUUUGAAACUUCAUCGUGCUGGGGAUAGAGCAUUGCAACUAUUGCUCUUGAACGAGGAAUCCAUAGUAAGUACAAGUCACUAGCUUGUGCUGAUUACGUCCCUGCCCUUUGUACACACCGCCCGUCGCUACUACCGAUUGAAUGGCUUAGUGAGGCCUUCGGAUUGAGAUUCGGAGACUGGCAACAGACUCUUGGUUUUGAAAAGUUGGUCAAACUUGGUCAUUUAGAGGAAGUAAAAGUCGUAACAAGGUUUCCGUAGGUGAACCUGCGGAAGGAUCAUUA
rnacentral:rRNA from 1 species